rnacentral:rRNA from 1 species
GGGUUAGUAACGCGUGGGAAUAUGCCCUUUGGUACGGAAUAGCCUCUGGAAACGGAGAGUAAUACCGUAUGAGCCCUUCGGGGGAAAGAUUUAUCGCCAAAGGAUUAGCCCGCGUUAGAUUAGGUAGUUGGUGGGGUAAUGGCCUACCAAGCCUACGAUCUAUAGCUGGUUUUAGAGGAUGAUCAGCAACACUGGGACUGAGACACGGCCCAGACUCCUACGGGAGGCAGCAGUGGGGAAUCUUGGACAAUGGGGGCAACCCUGAUCCAGCCAUGCCGCGUGAGUGAUGAAGGCCUUAGGGUCGUAAAGCUCUUUCGCCUGUGAAGAUAAUGACGGUAGCAGGUAAAGAAACCCCGGCUAACUCCGUGCCAGCAGCCGCGGUAAUACGGAGGGGGUUAGCGUUGUUCGGAAUUACUGGGCGUAAAGCGCACGUAGGCGGAUCGGAAAGUUGGGGGUGAAAUCCCGGGGCUCAACCCCGGAACUGCCUCCAAAACUAUCGGUCUAGAAUU